AUGGAUUUUUAAUUGCAUGCUUGCCCUCUCUCACUGUCUCUCUCUCUCUCUCUAUUUUUUUAAAGUUUUAUAUAUAUAUAUAUAUAUAUAUAUAUAUAUAGAGAGAGAGAGAGAGAGACACAGAGACAGAGACAGGGUGAGAGAGAGUGCGAGAGAGCAAGCAUGCAAUUAAAAAUGU